GUAGGUGGCAAGCGUUGUCCGGAAUUAUUGGGCGUAAAGCGCGCGCAGGCGGUUCUUUAAGUCUGAUGUGAAAGCCCACGGCUCAACCGUGGAGGGUCAUUGGAAACUGGAGAACUUGAGUACGGAAGAGGAAAGCGGAAUUCCACGUGUAGCGGUGAAAUGCGUAGAGAUGUGGAGGAACACCAGUGGCGAAGGCGGCUUUCUGGUCUGUAACGGACGCUGAGGCGCGAAAGCGUGGGGAGCAAACAGGAUUAGAUACCCUGGUAGUCCACGCCGUAAACGAUGAGUGCUAAGUGUUAGGGGGUUUCCCGCCCCCCUUAGUGCUGCAGCUAACGCAUUAAGCACUCCGCCUGGGGGAGUACGGCCGCAGGCUG
rnacentral:rRNA from 1 species